AACGAACGCUGGCGGCGCGCCUAACACAUGCAAGUCGAACGCGAAAGUGUAGCAAUACAUGAGUAAAGUGGCGCACGGGUGAGUAACGCGUAGGUGAUCUACCUUUGUGAUCGGGAUAACCAGCCGAAAGGUUGGCUAAUACUGGAUAGAGCGCAUUUAUCGUAAAGAUGAGUGCGGGAAAUGAGGGCGUAGCAAUACGCUCUUGCACUAAGAUGAGCCUGCGUCUCAUUAGCUAGUUGGUAGGGUAAAGGCCUACCAAGGCAUUGAUGGGUAGCUGGUCUGAGAGGACGAUCAGCCACACUGGAACUGAAACACGGUCCAGACUCCUACGGGAGGCAGCAGUGGGGAAUCUUGCGCAAUGGACGAAAGUCUGACGCAGCGACGCCGCGUGAGUGAAGAAGGCC
rnacentral:rRNA from 1 species